rnacentral:rRNA from 1 species
UACGAAGGGGGCUAGCGUUGCUCGGAAUCGCUGGGCGUAAAGCGCACGUAGGCGGCUUCUUAAGUCAGGGGUGAAAUCCUGGAGCUCAACUCCAGAACUGCCUUUGAUACUGAGAAGCUUGAGUCCGGGAGAGGUGAGUGGAACUGCGAGUGUAGAGGUGAAAUUCGUAGAUAUUAGCUAGAACACCAGUGGCGAAGGCGGCCAACUGGUCCGGUACUGACGCUGAGGUGCGAAAGCGUGGGGAGCAAACAGG